rnacentral:rRNA from 1 species
UACGUAGGGUGCGAGCGUUAAUCGGAAUUACUGGGCGUAAAGCGUGCGCAGGCGGUUCGUUAAGUCAGCUGUGAAAGCCCCGGGCUCAACCUGGGAAUUGCGGUUGAAACUGGCGAACUAGAAUCUGGCAGAGGGGGGUGGAAUUCCACGUGUAGCAGUGAAAUGCGUAGAGAUGUGGAGGAACACUGAUGGCGAAGGCAGCCCCCUGGGCUGAGAUUGACGCUCAGGCACGAAAGCGUGGGGAGCAAACAGG